GCAAAUGGGUCUGAUGUGUUCAAUUAUAAUGGGAACGAGUGUUUUCUUUAAGUUUCUCAGUUGCUCAUAUGUUACGUUAUGUGGGCAUGCGCAGCUUCACAUAGAAACGUUAAUUAUGGCACCUGGCAAUCAUUUCAUCCUCACCCAGACAAUCAUCAUGAGCACACAGCCCGUUGGUCAGGUCUGGUCCAGUCUACAACUAUGAUGGAGGAAUCAGCAGCCUGACAUGGCAGAAUGGCAUCAUCUCCAGGGUCCACUGUCACUACAAUCAGACUUAGAGGAGUUGCAGCUACAACCUGAUACUCAGAAACACUCACUGAGAGAGACUCACUCACCUUUAACCUGCAGACGGAUGGUGCUGAUGGUUUUGAUUCGGUCAGCUCUGGUCCACUCUACAGCUCUGAUGAAGGGAUCAGCAGCCUGACAUGGCAGAAUGACAUCACCUUCAGGGCGCACUGGUACCACAGUCAUGUUACGGCUGCUGUCAACGUCAUCAUAUGGGUGAUUUGAGAUGCAAAGUAGGCUGUGCCAUCCCGAGCUGCUGAGUGGAUGGACCUGGAAAGUCCCGCCCAGUUCCUGGAGGCGCUGGCCAAUCAAGAGGAGUACAUCAAGUCUGCCACCCGCUUAAAGAGACGGAUUGCCUGCAGCUGGGGGCAGCUGCCAGAUCACACCUUGUUGAGACUUUGCUGGAGAGCAUGAGGACGUGGGCCCAGGAGUAAGAUUUAAACAACUGAUAUUCCUCCCUGCACGUAGUAAAACCCGGGGCGUAACAAGUCAUCACCUUCACCACGCUCCAGUCAGCUGGCCUCACCACCCGGUCCCUUCCUCGCGGCUCCCCGCUCCAUUGCGCCUCUGCUUCCGCUUCCAGUCUUCCCCUCUUCUGCUCCUCGGCUCCCUGGUUUCCAGUGUCUCUUCCUCAGUCUCCCUGUUCUCCCUGAGCUUCCUCACCUUCCCCAGCCACAGUCAUCGUGCCUUCGCUCGGUUCCUUGGUUUCCGCCUCCUCCCAUCCCCUCUCCCUUACCUAUCCCUUUAAUCCAAAUAAACCCUCUGUUGUCUUUGA